rnacentral:rRNA from 1 species
UCGUUGGGUCCUUGAGGACUUAGUGACGCAGCUAACGCAAUAAGUAGACCGCCUGGGGAGUACGGCCGCAAGGUUAAAACUCAAAUGAAUUGACGGGGGCCCGCACAAGCGGUGGAGCAUGUGGUUUAAUUCGAUGCAACGCGAAGAACCUUACCUGGUCUUGACAUAUCUAGAAUCCUGCAGAGAUGCGGGAGUGCCUUCGGGAAUUAGAAUACAGGUGCUGCAUGGCUGUCGUCAGCUCGUGUCGUGAGAUGUUGGGUUAAGUCCCGCAACGAGCGCAACCCUUGUCCUUAGUUACCAGCGGUUUGGCCGGGAACUCUAAGGAUACUGCCAGUGACAAACUGGAGGAAGGCGGGGACGACGUCAAGUCAUCAUGGCCCUUACGACCAGGGCUACACACGUGCUACAAUGGUAGGUACAGAGGGCAGCUACACAGCGAUGUGAUGCGAAUCUCAAAAAGCCUAUCGUAGUCCAGAUUGGAGUCUGCAACUCGACUCCAUGAAGUAGGAAUCGCUAGUAAUCGCGGAUCAGAAUGCCGCGGUGAAUACGUUCCCGGGCCUUGUACACUCCGCC